rnacentral:lncRNA from 1 species
CUUAGGUUCACCGCUUCUCGACCCAAUCGGAUUAUGAUUAGUGCCUCUUCAUGUGUUCUACUAUGGGGUUAGUUUGUACACCGAUCAACCGCCUCAGAUGCUUCUCCAUUCUUAUCCCCUCUUCUCCUGUUUCUCAUUCGACUUUUGCUUUCUUCAAUCACAAUUGUAGUACACGAUGCCAAGGAGCUUCUUCUCCACUUUCUGGCUUACCUGUUACGAUCGAGACACCACCAUCAAGUUUUACCAUUAAUUGAAAAAGAUUCAAGCGUUUCCAAUCAUUCAGCAACCGACGACGACUUCAUUAU